rnacentral:rRNA from 1 species
AUUGAACGCUGGCGGCGUGCCUAAUACAUGCAAGUCGAGCGCAGGAGACCGUUCCGAACCCUUCGGGGGGACGACGGUGGAAUGAGCGGCGGACGGGUGAGUAACACGUAAAGAACCUGCCCAUAGGUCUGGGAUAACCACGAGAAAUCGGGGCUAAUACCGGAUGUGUCAUCGGACCGCAUGGUCCGCUGAUGAAAGGCGCUCCGGCGUCGCCCAUGGAUGGCUUUGCGGUGCAUUAGCUAGUUGGUGGGGUAACGGCCCACCAAGGCGACGAUGCAUAGCCGACCUGAGAGGGUGAUCGGCCACACUGGGACUGAGACACGGCCCAGACUCCUACGGGAGGCAGCAGUAGGGAAUCUUCCACAAUGGACGAAAGUCUGAUGGAGCAACGCCGCGUGAACGAUGAAGGCUUUCGGGUCGUAAAGUUCUGUUGUAAGGGAAGAACAAGUGCCGCAGGCAAUGGCGGCACCUUGACGGUACCUUGCGAGAAAGCCACGGCUAACUACGUGCCAGCCGCCGCCGUAA